GCUUGUCUCAAAGAUUAAGCCAUGCACGUGUAAGUAUAAAAUAACCUAUACUAUUGAAACUGCGAAUGGCUCAUUAUAUCAGUUAUAGUUUACAUGAUAAUAAUUUUCUACUUGGAUACCCGUAGUAAUUCUAGAGCUAAUACAUGCGCCCAGACCCAACUUUUAGGAAGGGUUGUAUUUAUUAGGUACAGAACCAAUGCAAGCUCCGCUUGACCUUUUGGUGAUUCAUGGUAACCGAACGAAUCGCACGGCACCAGCUGGCGAUGGACCAUUUCAGUUUCUGACCUAUCAGCUUCCGACGGUAGGAUAUGGGCCUACCGUGGCAAUGACGGGUAACGGAGAAUUAGGGUUCGAUUCCGGAGAGGGAGCCUGAGAAACGGCUACCACAUCUAAGGAAGGCAGCAGG
rnacentral:rRNA from 1 species